rnacentral:lncRNA from 1 species
GACUUGAGGCAGGAGCUGACCUAAGAGAAAACAGCCCGUGAACCCGUGCGGAGAGAGGCUGCUGGAGCUCCAGGACCUACAUCUGCCUGGACUGUGUUCUGGAGGCAUCAGAAGAGAUUCCACCCAGAAGAAUACAUACUGGAAGGGACCACAUCUUGAGAAGACAGCCAUUCAUCACAUGGGACCCAACGUACCGGGGCUCAGAACACCCUCUUCCCAGGAUGAAGGACAUCAAUGACCAUCUGUUUCCUCUGAAGCAGACGGUUGGUCAUGAACUUCCUGGUCCGGAUGGUUACUGUGUCAUUCAUGAUGGCUACGGCGCUGGAGCUGGAGAGCAGGUUCAUUCUUUCUUGCUAAGAAUGUAAUAGGCUCACUCUAAAAAUUAUAGCCACAUGGAAAAUAUAGGGUUAUGUUAAGACAGAGUGGCUGGAGACUGGGUGGGCAGCUGCUACCCUCUGUCCCAGUUAUAGCCAUUACAGUCCAUGUAUUAACCUUGUAAGACCAACCCAGAGAUAUAUGUUUGCUCAUAGUUUCAGAAAACAACUUGGAGGUGAUGACCAUUAAUAAAAUUAUGGGUAGCAGCCUGGGUAAUAGCCAUAAAAAUGAGAGGAGGGGUAGAAUGGAAAGACGUUGGUCAAAGGAAAACCAUGGGAUCCAAAGGACUGACACUCUCUCUCUCUCUCUCUCUCUCUCUCUCUCUCUCUCUCUCUCUCUCUCGGCAGGUAAACAGGAGGAAAGGCAAACAGGCUCACUGACCAUCACAUCAUAGUACAAAUAUUGAGUGGCUUAGUGUAGUGUUUUGAAUAAGAAUGGCCCUCAUAGGUUCUUGUGCUUGAAUACUAGGUCUCCAGUUGGUAGAACUGUUUGGUAAGGAUCAGGAGGCGAAGACUUGUUAUAGAAAGUGUGUUACUGGGUGGGAUUUGAGCUUUCAGAAGCCUAUGCCACACCCAGUUCUCUCUCUCUUCCUCUCUCCUUCCCUCCUUUCUUCCCCCUUCACUCUCCCCUCUACUUUAUGGUUGUGUCUCAAGAUGUAAGCCCUCAGCUAUGGCUCCAUGCCAUGCUUGCCUGCCUGCUGCUGUGCCCCACGCCUUCCCCAUCAUGAUGGUCAUGGGCUCGUUCUUUGAAACUGUAAGCCGCAAGUUUCCUUUCGUAAGUUGCUGUGGUCAUGGUGUUUUUGUCAUGGCCAUAGAAAAGUAACUAGGACACCAGUGACAAACAAAAGUGUGUGUUCAUUCCUCACAGGGGAGAGGAAGAGGUGUACACACUCUUAGAGGAUGAGGAGGAAGUGGCUGGGAAGAUUGAUGAGCUAAGGAAUGGACUACAGCUUGGGGCGAAGCUCGUUGAACUCUGGCAAGGCACCAACACAAGCCUUCUCUCCAGACACAGACACACACACAAGUAUACACACAUGCACACAAGUACACACACACAUGCACACAUAUGCAUGCACACACACAUACACAGACACAUAUGGACAUACACACAUGGAUAUACGCGUACAGGACGUGACUAUGGUAACUAGUUUGGUUUAACCAUUCCACAUUAUAUCUAUCAACACAUCACAUUGUACCCCGCACAUAUAUGCAAUCAUAAUUCACCAAUAAAAAAGUGAAUUUUGGAGACUGGAGAGGUGACUCAGUGUUAAAAAAACUAGUACUAUUCUUCUAGAGGAACUGAGUUAAAUUCCCAGCAUCCACAUUGGGUAGCCUGUAACUCCAUAUCCAGAGGUCAACAUCUUUGGCCUCCAUAGGUACCCACAUACAUGCAUACAUACAUAGAAAUAAAAACUUUCAAGU